rnacentral:rRNA from 1 species
AUUGAACGCUGGCGGCAGGCCUAACACAUGCAAGUCGAGCGGAUGAAGGGAGCUUGCUCCUGGAUUCAGCGGCGGACGGGUGAGUAAUGCCUAGGAAUCUGCCUGGUAGUGGGGGAUAACGUCCGGAAACGGGCGCUAAUACCGCAUACGUCCUGAGGGAGAAAGUGGGGGAUCUUCGGACCUCACGCUAUCAGAUGAGCCUAGGUCGGAUUAGCUAGUUGGUGGGGUAAAGGCCUACCAAGGCGACGAUCCGUAACUGGUCUGAGAGGAUGAUCAGUCACACUGGAACUGAGAAACGGUCCAAACUCCUACGGGAGGCAGCAGUGGGGAAUAUUGGACAAUGGGCGAAAGCCUGAUCCAGCCAUGCCGCGUGUGUGAAGAAGGUCUUCGGAUUGUAAAGCACUUUAAGUUGGGAGGAAGGGAAGUAAGUUAAUACCUUGCUGUUUUGACGUUACCAACAGAAUAAGCACCGGCUAACUUCGU